rnacentral:rRNA from 1 species
GAAUUCAACUCCUACGGGAGGCAGCAGUGGGGAAUCUUAGACAAUGGGCGCAAGCCUGAUCUAGCCAUGCCGCGUGGGUGAUGAAGGCCUUAGGGUCGUAAAGCCCUUUCGCCGGGGAAGAUAAUGACGGUACCCGGUAAAGAAACCCCGGCUAACUCCGUGCCAGCAGCCGCGGUAAUACGGAGGGGGUUAGCGUUGUUCGGAAUGACUGGGCGUAAAGCGCGCGUAGGCGGAUCAGGAAGUUGGGGGUGAAAUCCCGGGGCUCAACCCCGGAAUGGCCUUCAAAACUCCUGGUCUUGAGUUCGAGAGAGGUGAGUGGAAUUCCGAGUGUAGAGGUGAAAUUCGUAGAUAUUCGGAGGAACACCAGUGGCGAAGGCGGCUCACUGGCUCGACACUGACGCUGAGGUGCGAAAGCGUGGGGAGCAAACAGGAUUAGAAACCCCAGUAGUCCAGGCGUU